UGAACAAGAAAGAUAAGUGAUGAUGUGUAAAUGAGCAAAAGGUGACUCUAGGCCCCAAAACUAGAUGAAGUCUGGGAAGAACCCACUUGUGUUUCCUAGUCCCAAGUGUUGGGGCAGGGCAACUGAAGAGCUUUGGAGAGAUAAGAAUGGUAAGAGAAUCUGAGAAGCCAGACUUCAAGUGUCAUGUCUCCAUCCAGACUGUGCAUGUUGGCGAUUUGAGUGAGAUUUCUGGGGGGUCCCUGAUCACAUGCCUACCGGACACUGACUUCCGCAAUCAGAAGUGCUGUCCCACAGCGCUGCAGGGAAGGGGACUGCUUUCUGUGCUGGCUGGGCACCUAUGGCCCUGUGAGUGGGCUAUGAGCGGAGAUCAUGCCUAGCACCUUCCUGACAAGAGAGCCAUGAGCUCUAUUUUGAGAUGGUGGUGUGCCCCGUUCACAGAAAACAGAUUUAUACAUUGAUUGAAUGGUUCAUUCUAAGCGAUUCCAAAAGAAAUGAAGGAGAAAGCAACCUCUCCAGGAACGACCCCAUUCCAGCAACUCCUCUCCUGUUGGAAAACAACCACCAAAUCUUAACCGAAUGAUGGGCGCCCGCUUGCUGAUCCAGCACCCCUCUAUCCUGUGUCCCCGGAUUGCCGUGUGUGAGUAAAAAGAACAUGUGGCAAGGUACAGGGUGGGGACAACUCUUUUAACUUACUCCUUUAACUUGUUUGAACUUUAAUACAUUUAUACAUCAGCCAAGAGGGUUUUUUUGUUUGUUUACUUUAGAAGAAUAACCUGUGCUUCUUAUAAAACAAGAUGCAACAAAAUAAAAAUGUACAAAAAGUGAGA